UACGUAGGUGGCAAGCGUUGUCCGGAUUUACUGGGCGUAAAGGGCGUGCAGGCGGUCUGUUAAGUUCAGGGUGAAAGCUCCCGGCUCAACUGGGAGAGGUCCUUGGAUACUGGCAGACUUGAGGAGGGUAGAGGAGAGUGGAAUUCCCGGUGUAGUGGUGAUAUGCGUAGAUAUCGGGAGGAACACCAGUGGCGAAGGCGGCUCUCUGGGCCCUACCUGACGCUGAGACGCGAAAGCGUGGGGAGCAACCGG
rnacentral:rRNA from 1 species